GGUGCCCUGGCUUAGCUGGUUAAAGUGCCUGCUUUGCAAGCAGGGGGUCCUAGGUUCAAAUCCCAGUGGUACCU
rfam:Alligator mississippiensis ScZkoYb_22, whole genome shotgun sequence.